GAAAUUGUAAUGACACAGUCUCCAGCCACCCUGUCUUUGUCUCCAGGGGAAAGAGCCACCCUCUCCUGCAGGGCCAGUCAGAGUGUUAGCAGCAGCUACUUAUCCUGGUACCAGCAGAAACCUGGGCAGGCUCCCAGGCUCCUCAUCUAUGGUGCAUCCACCAGGGCCACUGGCAUCCCAGCCAGGUUCAGUGGCAGUGGGUCUGGGACAGACUUCACUCUCACCAUCAGCAGCCUGCAGCCUGAAGAUUUUGCAGUUUAUUACUGUCAGCAGGAUUAUAACUUAC
rnacentral:lncRNA from 1 species